rnacentral:rRNA from 1 species
AUGGCCGUACCUACGACGUCGAUGAGACCCAAAGCCAGGAUGGCCGUGCCUAGUACGUCCCCGAUGAAGAGGCCGACGAACGUGCUGACUACGACCACAGUGACUCGUGGCAUGAAGACGACGACAUCUAUGUCGAAGGUGAUGAUGAUGAAGAAGAAAGCAAUGAUGUUGAUAUUAGUGGUGCGCCAUUGUUCAUCGACGAGCUCACCCAAAGAGCGGAGGCACAAAAGAAGAGGAAGAGCAUUCGCAUUCCAAUCUUUGGAGGCAUUCAAGAAACUUACUCCUACCACAAGACACUAG